rnacentral:rRNA from 1 species
UACGUAGGGUGCGAGCGUUGUCCGGAAUUACUGGGCGUAAAGAGCUCGUAGGCGGUUUGUCGCGUCGUCCGUGAAAACUUGGGGCUCAACCCCAAGCUUGCGGGCGAUACGGGCAGACUUGAGUACUGCAGGGGAGACUGGAAUUCCUGGUGUAGCGGUGAAAUGCGCAGAUAUCAGGAGGAACACCAAUAGCGAAGGCAGCUCGCUGGGACGUUACUGACACUGAGGCGCGAAAGCGUGGGGAGCGAACAGG